GAUGAACGCUAGCGGCAGGCCUAACACAUGCAAGUCGAGGGGCAGCACAGAAACAGCAAUGUUUUGGUGGCGACCGGCGGACGGGUGCGUAACGCGUAUGCAACCUACCUUUAACAGGGGGAUAACGGAGAGAAAUUUCCACUAAUACCCCAUAACAUCGAUCAAGGCAUCUUGAUUGGUUGAAAACUCCGGUGGUUAAAGAUGGGCAUGCGUUGUAUUAGGUAGUUGGUGAGGUAAUGGCUCACCAAGCCUACGAUACAUAGGGGGACUGAGAGGGUAGCCCCCCACACUGGUACUGAGACACGGACCAGACUCCUACGGGAGGCAGCAGUGAGGAAUAUUGGUCAAUGGGGGCAACCUUGAACCAGCCAUGCCGCGUGCAGGAAGGCGGCUCUAUGAGUUGUAAGCUGCUUUUAAACAGGGAUAAAGCACAGUAUGUAUACUGUGUUGAAGGUACUGUAAGAAUAAGGAUCGGCUAACUCCGUGCCAGCCGCCGCCGUAA
rnacentral:rRNA from 1 species